UAUGCCACGCUUCUAGGCAAAGUCUUUGAUUAUAGCGAUUGUUUGUGGUAAUUACUUUGCGUGGGAAAACUCUAAAGUAAUUACCACAAACAAUCGCUAUGGUCAAAGACUUUGUCUAGAAGCGUGGCAUAUAAAUAUG